rnacentral:rRNA from 1 species
UACCAGCACCCCGAGUGGUCGGGACGAUUAUUGGGCCUAAAGCAUCCGUAGCCGGUCCUGCAAGUCUUCCGUUAAAUCCAGCUGCUCAACAGAUGGGCUGCGGGAGAUACUACAGGGCUAGGAGGCGGGAGAGGCAAGCGGUACUUUAUGGGUAGGGGUAAAAUCCGCUGAUCCAUAGAAGACCACCAGUGGCGAAGGCGGCUUGCCGAACAGCGCUCGACGGUGAGGGAUGAAAGCUGGGGGAGCAAACCGG